UAACAAGGUUUCCGUAGGUGAACCUGCGGAAGGAUCAUUAAAGAUUGGCCGAGAGGCCUCAUCUCUAUAUCCCUCAACCUCUGUGAACCGUGGACCCUCGGGUCUGUCUUACAAACAUCAGUGUAAUGAACGUGAUAAUCAUAACAAAAACAAAACUUUCAACAACGGAUCUCUUGGCUCUCGCAUCGAUGAAGAACGCAGCGAAAUGCGAUAAGUAAUGUGAAUUGCAGAAUUCAGUGAAUCAUCGAAUCUUUGAACGCACCUUGCGCCUCUUGGUAUUCCGAGAGGCAUGCCUGUUUGAGUGUCAUGAAAUCUCAAUCCCCUCGGGUUUUAGGACCCGGGUCGGACUUGGACAUGGGCGUCUGCCGGUCAAACGGCUCGCCUCAAAUGACUUAGUGGAUCUCUCAGCAUCCGUGACAGACGUAAUAAGUUUCGUCUCGUCCCUUGCAGAUGAGUCCGCUCACAACCUGCCAUCGCGCACUUUUAGACUCUGACCUCAAAUCAGGUAGGACUACCCAAAUCAGGUAGGACUACCCGCUGAACUUAAGCAUAUCA
rnacentral:misc_RNA from 1 species